rnacentral:rRNA from 1 species
GACGAACGCUGGCGGCGUGCUUAACACAUGCAAGUCGAACGGAAAGGCCCUGCUUUUGUGGGGUGCUCGAGUGGCGAACGGGUGAGUAACACGUGAGUAACCUGCCCUUGACUUUGGGAUAACUUCAGGAAACUGGGGCUAAUACCGGAUAGGAGCUCCUGCUGCAUGGUGGGGGUUGGAAAGUUUCGGCGGUUGGGGAUGGACUCGCGGCUUAUCAGCUUGUUGGUGGGGUAGUGGCUUACCAAGGCUUUGACGGGUAGCCGGCCUGAGAGGGUGACCGGGGACAUAGGGAGAGCAAGCGGCGCACGGCGAGGGAGGAGGGCAGCGGGGGAGAAUAGUGGACAGGGGGGGGGAGUCGGGUGGGGGGCGCCGGGGGGGAGGGGGCGGGCUCUGGGGUUGUAAGCCUCUUUCGCGUGUGAGGAGGCGGGAGUGAAGGAAAGGGGGAAAGAAUCAGCGGCUAAGUAGGUGCCAGCGGCGGCGGUAGAGGUAAAGAAAGCAACGUCUGAAC